rnacentral:rRNA from 3 species
AGCCUGAUGCAGCCAUGCCGCGUGUGUGAAGAAGGCCUUCGGGUUGUAAAGCACUUUCAGCAGUGAGGAAGGUGGUGUAGUUAAUACCUGCACCAUUUGACGUUAGCUGCAGAAGAAGCACCGGCUAACUCCGUGCCAGCAGCCGCGGUAAUACGGAGGGUGCGAGCGUUAAUCGGAAUUACUGGGCGUAAAGCGCAUGCAGGCGGUCUGUUAAGCAAGAUGUGAAAGCCCCGGGCUUAACCUGGGAACAGCAUUUUGAACUGGCAGGCUAGAGUCUUGUAGAGGGGGGUAGAAUUUCAGGUGUAGCGGUGAAAUGCGUAGAGAUCUGAAGGAAUACCGGUGGCGAAGGCGGCCCCCUGGACAAAGACUGACGCUCAGAUGCGAAAGCGUGGGGAGCAAACAGGAUUAGAUACCCUGGUAGUCCACGCCGUAAACGAUGUCUACUUGGAGGCUGUAACCUUGAGUUGUGGCUUUCGGAGCUAACGCGUUAAGUAGACCGCCUGGG